rnacentral:rRNA from 1 species
UACGUAGGGUGCGAGCGUUGUCCGGAAUUAUUGGGCGUAAAGAGCUCGUAGGCGGUUUGUCGCGUCGGCCGUGAAAACUUGGGGCUUAACUCCAAGCUUGCGGUCGAUACGGGCAGACUUGAGUUCGGCAGGGGAGACUGGAAUUCCUGGUGUAGCGGUGAAAUACGUAGAUAUCUGGAGGAACACCGGUGGCGAAGGCGGCGAUCUGGCCCAACAUUGACACUGAGACCCGAAAGCGUGGGGAUCAAACAGG